rnacentral:rRNA from 1 species
UUGCCAUCAUUCAGUUGGGCACUCUAGCGAGACUGCCGGUAAUAAACCGGAGGAAGGUGGGGAUGACGUCAAAUCAUCAUGCCCCUUAUGACCUGGGCUCACACGUGCUACAAUGGUUGGUACAACGAGUUGCGAGUCGGUGACGGCGAGCUAAUCUCUUAAAGCCAAUCUCAGUUCGGAUUGUAGGCUGCAACUCGCCUACAUGAAGUCGGAAUCGCUAGUAAUCGCGGAUCAGCACGCCGCGGUCGAAUACGUUCCCGGGCCUU